UACAGAGGUCUCAAGCGUUGUUCGGAUUCAUUGGGCGUAAAGGUGCGUAGGUGGCGCGGUAAGUCGGGUGUGAAAUUUCGGAGCUUAACUCCGAAACUGCAUUCGAUACUGCCGUGCUUGAGGACUGGAGAGGAGACUGGAAUUUACGGUGUAGCAGUGAAAUGCGUAGAGAUCGUAAGGAAGACCAGUGCGAAGGCGGGUCUCUGGACAGUUCCUGACACUGAGACACGAAGGCCAGGGGAGCAAACGGG
rnacentral:rRNA from 1 species